rnacentral:lncRNA from 1 species
GAGGGCAUCAGAUCACCUGGAACUGGAGUUACAGAUGGUUGUGAGCCACCAUGUGGGUGCUGAGAACUGAACUUGGAUCCUCUGCAAGAGCAGCAAGUGCUCUUAACCACUGAGCCAUCUCUCCAACCCUGGUUUAUACUUUUAUCUUGUUCUAAAUAUUUUAAUGUUUCAUCUAAGUUAUAUGACUAGAAAAUUUUCAGCCCUAUUAUGAUUAAUGCCCAAAACACACACACACACACACACACACACACACACACACACACACUACAUUUCUUAAAUCACUGAGUGCUCUAACUAUUGUGUACCUGUUACUAAACCAGUUUAAUCAUUCUCCAUCCUCCAUCAUAGACCUCAGUUAUAACUAUUGCUCCGUUAUGGAGUUCAUUUUAAGUAUAUGCCAAGUGUUAAUCCUUUUGUUUAAUCACAGUACAUAUAAAGGUCUAAGUAGCCUGGAUUCCAGGCCUGACUCUGCCAUGACAAAGUGCCCAGGAGGCCCUUGCUGGGUCUAGGAUGAGUUUCGUCACCCUUGUGAUGAUCUCAGAGCCCUUUCUCUGGUCAUUUGUCCAGAAUUUUAGAAAUCCCUAUGAAAAGCCAUCAGAGAGUAACACUUAACUUGUUGUAGCAUUAUUUUCUAGAGCUGUCAGCAGUUAAAAUAACAGUUAACAGUUAUUUAUCUUAUACCAUUACUAUUGAGACUCUUCACAUAGAAAAUCUCACUCAACUCAUUUCAUCUAGGUACUACUCCCAUGUCCAACAGGGAAAUCGAGUCACUAAGAGAUUAACUAUGUAAGUACACCCCUGGCUAGCAGUGGAUUCAGUGAAUUCAGUUAGAAUCUGGCUUCAAACGCACACAGCAGCGGCCACUGCUCUAUUCUGUCAACCUCUGUCAUCAAAUGUACAUGUUUGGUAUGCCUCCUGUUAUAAUGUAAACAAUCUGGGUACUUCUCCAGCCAAUCAUACCAUUCUACCCUAGCAUAGGAAAUAAGGCAUUUAUAUGUCAUCAUUCGGAAGGAUGUUUGCUGAGCAUGGAUUCUGUGACAGGCAUAAAGCAGUGCCCAGGACAAUUAAAUGUAGCACACUCUUUAAUGAAGUGUGAACGGUCAAGUUUAGUUGCUACUCUAACGGCUUGGGUAUUACUUAUGCUAAAAGAUGCCCAUAGGAAAGGAGGAGGUUCUGGAUGAAUGACUAGGCUAGAGCCAUGGGACCAGCACCUACACCCUGGUCAGACUUCCCUAUCAUCGUCUCUAGUCUUCAGUUUCCUACUGUGAACUCCCUUCCCCUCUGCAGAUUGACCAUCCUUCCCCUUCUGGCUUAUGUAAUCUUCCUAAAACAUAGCCCACAGUCAUACAGACAACCAUGUGAUACAGCCGAACCAUAUCUUGUGGGAAAGCCACAGAUAACACUCUCUGGUUCUCGGAGAUGUUAUGAACAGAUUAAAGCCUUAAUGCUGAAUUGUGCAUACCACUGGGCACAUAUUCUAGCUCAGCCUACAAUAUAAUAGGCAGACAUCCUGGCACUUCAGCCUUACAGGCAGACACAACAAGCAGCAAACAGCAAUGGAAUAUUUUUCUUCUCUGCCUUGCUAGAUGACGGCACACUGAAGGAAACGAACUAACUACAAUCUUCGCUUCAUGACUUCUAAAUACAAAGAUGGAACAUUACAGUAGUCAUUUUCUUUUUAAUUUACUAUACCACGCUAAUGACCCCAACUGCGGCUUUUCUCCCAUUCCCAUACAUUUUUAAAGUUCCUGUUCCAGAGGCAGAGUGUGUUCUCAGUAGUGUUUUACAGAAAUCAGUUUCCUGUGUGCCUACCACAGCAGGGUUCAAUUAACAUGACACAAUUUCACACAUUCUUUCCCAGAGAAAGGAAUGUUCUUUGUCAAUUUUUAAUGCUGCUAAAUUAAUUUUAGCCUAGUCAAGGAAAGUAUUUGAAGGCCCCAAAUGCAUUUUCAACACAUAUAUGUAAUGAAUUGGAGAAAGACGAAUGUUCAGACACCCAUGCCUUUCAACUGGGUUGAUGAUGGUGGGUGUCAGUGGAGACGGGAAGAGCUUACCUUGGUAAAUUGGUUCUUCUUACAGAUAGGACCUUACAAAUUGUUUAUAUAUAUAUAUAUAUAUAUAUAUAUAUAUAUACAGUUCCUCCCUGUAUGUGUGGAAUGGCUUGUGAUUCCAAAAGUAAUUGCCCCUUUACUUUUUCUUAAUAAAAAAUAAUUAGAUGCUUGCUAAUGUUUUCUUGGUGGAAUCUUUAAAAACAAAAC